UGGUAGUCCACGCUGUAAACGAUGUCGAUUUGGAGGUUGUGCCCUUGAGGCGUGGCUUCCGGAGCUAACGCGUUAAAUCGACCGCCUGGGGAGUACGGCCGCAAGGUUAAAACUCAAAUGAAUUGACGGGGGCCCGCACAAGCGGUGGAGCAUGUGGUUUAAUUCGAUGCAACGCGAAGAACCUUACCUGGUCUUGACAUCCACAGAACUUUCCAGAGAUGGAUUGGUGCCUUCGGGAACUGUGAGACAGGUGCUGCAUGGCUGUCGUCAGCUCGUGUUGUGAAAUGUUGGGUUAAGUCCCGCAACGAGCGCAACCCUUAUCCUUUGUUGCCAGCGGUUAGGCCGGGAACUCAAAGGAGACUGCCAGUGAUAAACUGGAGGAAGGUGGGGAUGACGUCAAGUCAUCAUGGCCCUUACGACCAGGGCUACACACGUGCUACAAUGGCAUAUACAAAGAGAAGCGACCUCGCGAGAGCAAGCGGACCUCAUAAAGUAUGUCGUAGUCCGGAUUGGAGUCUGCAACUCGACUCCAUGAAGUCGGAAUCGCUAGUAAUCGUAGAUCAGAAUGCUACGGUGAAUACGUUCCCGGGCCUUGUACACACCGCCCGUCACACCAUGGGAGUGGGUUGCAAAAGAAGUAGGUAGCUUAACCUUCGGGAGGGCGCUUACCACUUUGUGAUUCAUGACUGGGG
rnacentral:rRNA from 1 species